AUGAAGGCAGCAUUAAAAACUAUCCUCCCACGUACUCUCCAUAAGUUGUGCCGGUGGCAUAUCAUGAAGAAGUACAAAGGCCACCUCGCCUUACUGUAUAAGGCACACGAGAAACUUAAGGAUGACCUCAAUGCGGUGCUGAACUACCCACUAAUGCCGUCAGAAUUUGAACGAGCAUGGAAGGACCUCAUUCAGAGAUACAACUUGCAAGACGAUGAAGUGAUGAAUUCUCUGUGGGAAGACAGGCACGAGUGGAUCUCGGCUUACUACAAGGAAAUUUUCUAUGCUCGGAUGACUUCCACACAGAGAAGCGAGAGCAUGAACCACAUACUGAAGAAAAACUUUGUCAAAGAGAAGCAUGAUCUCCAUCUGUUUGCUCAGUAGGUGGACACAUUCAGACCAGGAAGGCCGUCGAGCACGCAGAGACAGCAGCAAAUGAGGCAGUCAGAGGUAAAGACAUCAACCCAGUUUGGGUUCGAAGUUCAGUUAUCAAAAGUGUAUACAAGGGCAGUGUUUGCAGAUUUCAAAGAAACACUCUACCGUAGCACUGCAUUUAGAGCAGAACGGUGCCCUGAGAAUCCGACAAAGUAUCUCGUACACCACUACAAUAGAUCGGAUGCAUUUGACUGGGCAAGGCAUAAUUUCCAAGUGGUCGCCGAUGAAUAGAAAGGUGUCUACGAAUGUGAAUGCAAACUCUGGACACACACAGGGCUCUUUUGCGUCCAUGUGUUAUGCAUGCUUUCUCAUUUGAGAGUACCCAAGAUUCCUGAGGUGUACAUCAUGAAAAGAUACACCCGUAACGCAAGAUCAGAUGCAACAUUUGACAGACGAGACUAUGAACAAACAGCACCAGAUGGAACCUUGCUUUUUUGCCGUAGGAAAUUGCUGACAGAAACAACAAUGGACCUUGCAAACAGAGCGACAAGGUCCGACGUUGGGUGCCACAGAGUGUUGUCUGGUAUGAGGGCACUGAUCGAGGAAGUUGAUGUGCUCAACGAAGAAGAAGAAGCAACAGAAAAACUAAAGCAAGCAGAGAAAUCCCAGCAUGAAAAUAAUGCCGAGCAAGUAGAAAAUACAGAACACAGCGGAACUGGUGCUAUCAAAAAAGAAACAAUUCUUCCACCUCAUGUUUGA
rnacentral:rRNA from 1 species